rnacentral:lncRNA from 1 species
UUUAAAUGGUAUUUUAUUUCAUAACAAGUUUGUGAUAUAAUUAAUCUAUUUGUGCAUAUUUCCAUGGUUUAUGUGUAAAUUAUUCUUGACCAGACUUGACCUGGAAUAGCUGAUGGAUUGAUAAAAUAAAUCAUAAAACCAAUCCGAUCCAACCGAAUGAAAUGGAUUUAGUUAGGCUUGGAUUCAAUUUCUUAACCUGAUUGAAAUAUGGAUCGGAUUUGGGUUGAAAUAAUCCCCAAUCAACCUGAUCCACUUGCACCCUGCCCUGGACUUAAAAGACUAAACUACAUGACAUUAAGUGAAUUAGAAUUCCUAAACCUCACUACCAGAAAGAAAUAUCUUCCCCAAUGAAAGGAACAGUGCAGUAGCUUUCAUGCAUUUGUCUACUCGAUUCUAUCAUCGACUGUGUUUAUCAAACAUCAUCCAUAAUAAUCAUAGGAAAGCAUACUCCAUAAGCAAUCCUUGGGAAGGUCCACAAUCAUGUUGCAUCAAGACACGUGGAAACUUUCUUGAGAGGAUUCUUAUAAGCAUGUCGCACAAAAGAUAAGAACAUUGAGAUGAAUCUUCUCUAAUGAUUCCUCGACCAGGCCCCCUUCAUUGCAAUCUUCACUUAAGUUUUAAUUAUCUAAAAUAUUAUGAUCAAUAUUAUCAUGAAUCAAGGGCAUCUAAAUAUUGUACCAUUCAUCAUUCUAUCCUCAUGAGAAUUAUCUCCCAUAAAUAGGCUGCUCCUGAAGUGUUCAUGAGUUUGUUUUUUAAAUAUAUAUCUUAUAUACAAACCCCAAUUUAAGAAUUGGAAAAGGAUGUCUUUACCUUCUAACUAACUCAGCACUGGGAACAUCAUAGCUUCCAU